UACGGAGGGUGCAAGCGUUAUUCGGAAUUACUGGGCGUAAAGCGUGCGCAGGCGGUUUGUUAAGUCUGCUGUGAAAUCCCCGAGCUCAACUUGGGAAUUGCAGUGGAUACUGGCAGGCUGGAGUAUGGUAGAGGAAGGUGGAAUUCCCGGUGUAGCAGUGAAAUGCGUAGAGAUCGGGAGGAACACCAGUGGCGAAGGCGGCCUGCUGGGCUGUUGCUGACGCUGAGGCGCGACAGCGUGGGGAGCAAACAGG
rnacentral:rRNA from 1 species